CUGUGAUGCCCAGCAGAACAAUUCUUCCUUCUUAGUCAGAUGCCCCUUGGGAGUAGUUGUGCAAGGUUAAUUCUUUGUUUGCCUGGUAGAAGACUGGUGCAUUUUGGAUUAUAUUUUGUCUGUGAGAUCUUAGGUUGGUUCUUCAGAUGUUAGCCUUCUACUGGGGCAAUAUUUCUUUUUCUGUGUUUGUUAUUGACUUCUAAUAUAAUUGCAUUGUUGUCAAAAGAUGUGGUCUGCGUGAUUGUAGUUCUUUGAUAUUUGUUGAGACUUUCAUUAUGGUCUAGUUUUGGUUAAUUUUUAUAAAUAUUCUUCAUGUGCUUGAGGAUAAUGUGUAUUAUCUAAUUGAAAUGUAUAUUAAAUUAGCCUUGAUAACCAUUCUGGUCUUCUGUAGCUUUAUUAAUUAAUUUUUUUGGUCUGCCUGAACUACCAAUACGUAAAAGAAAUGUGUUAAUCUCCCACUACAA
rnacentral:sRNA from 1 species